UACGAAGGGGGCUAGCGUUGUUCGGAAUUACUGGGCGUAAAGCGUGCGCAGGCGGCUUCUCAAGUCAGGGGUGAAAGCCCAGAGCUCAACUCUGGAAUUGCCUUUGAGACUGAGUGGCUUGAGUACGAGAGAGGUGAGUGGAAUUCCACGUGUAGCGGUGAAAUGCGUAGAGAUGUGGAGGAACACCAGUGGCGAAGGCGGCUUUCUGGUCAGUAACUGACGCUGAGGCGCGAAAGCGUGGGGAGCAAACAGG
rnacentral:rRNA from 1 species